rnacentral:rRNA from 1 species
UUUGCCUACGGGAGGCAGCAGUGGGGAAUAUUGCACAAUGGGGGAAACCCCGAUGCAGCGACGCCGCGUGAGUGAAGAAGUAUUUCGGUAUGUAAAGCUCUAUCAGCAGGGAAGAAAAUGACGGUACCUGAUUAAGAAGCCCCGGCUAACUACGUGCCAGCAGCCGUGGUAAUACGUAGGGGGCAAGCGUUAUCCGGAUUUACUGGGUGUAAAGGUAGCGUAGACGGUGAGGCAAGUCAGAAGUGAAAGCC